CUGAGAUGAUCAUUAAGGCAUUUUUAACACAAUCUCUAAGCCUCAUGUGGUUCCAAUUCACAUUCCUUUCUAUAAUCUGAAUAGCGCAAGUGAGGAGCAUGCCAAUUUUUUGUUGAUGAGAUUAUAUCCUAAAUGCUCACAAAGAAUCAUUUUGAGUUAUUUGGUGAUGUUAAACUUUACUUUUGUUACUUUUGUUACUUAUGACUAAAUAUCUCUUUAUUCCUUUAUCAUGUGGUGGCUUGAAUAAGAAUAACCUCAAGAUGUAAAAAACCUGUUAAAUCUGUUGAUGUUACAAGAAAGUUAUCGUGAUUUAUCUAGUCUAUACCUGUACAUUGUGCACAUGAUAGACCCUUUACCUCCGGAAGUGUUGAUUAUUUACAAUUUACAAAAGGUGUGGUAGGGCAAUCAUUUUUAUGAUGUUGCCCAGCCCGGUUCUAGACAGUAGCUGUGUAGGCAGAUAACGUACUUUUGGGUACAGAUUGCUCUAUAAAGGGUACAAAUAUGUAUCAUGCAAGGUAACAUAAUGUGUAAAAUAUCUCACAAAAUUUAACAUAAACAGUUAAAUGUGGACUUGACAGACCACAAUACAGUUUUCCAAUUUUGGAUGUUCCAAACCUGUUUUUGUUUUUUUAGCAUUUUUUAGGAUUCCUCAAAUUUCCCAGUUUUUUUGUUAUCCAUGACUUUGCUUUUUUGGAAUGUGUGGCAGAGAAUAUUUAGAAUUUAAAAUGAGAGAAUAUUUACCCAAAAAAAUAGUGUUCAUCAGUUUGAAUACACAUUUUUUUGUUGUGUAUUGAACUAAAUAAAAAUGGGAAAGUUGAACACAAUUGCCAGCAAAAUGCCUGGCAAAUGUGUGUUUUUUUUUUUUAACUUAAAUAGCUUACAAUCCAAAUCUACUUGUAGACUUGAGUAAAACGCUUUGAAGAUAAAAGCAGAGAAUUGUGAUUUGUUAUCAUGUAAGAGCUCCACCUUUGGGUUACAUUUGCUGAGCCCCAUUCCUAAAGCAUUACUUCAAUCAUGGUCUGUUUAUGGGAAAGAGUGAGUAGGAUGAAGUCGUGGAUGUUCCAAGAAAGUCGGUAAGAUUUUAUUAUGAUGAGGCGUCACUGAAUUACGACACUAAUACGUCUAAAUAUUUUAAAACAGUUGUGAAACAUGGGUGACUAAUGUAAAAGACAGAUGCCACACAUGAAAUUAAUUUCAAUCACUUAGUAUUUGAGGGGGAGUUUGUGGUGUUGCAACACAAAAAAGGUUGGGAAUUGCGUUUUUGGUUUGUCAUUGUUUUGUCAUCGUGCAUGAAUGGUGACUGGUUUCUUCUCACUGAAAUGGGUU